UUUAAUCAAUCCCUUUAUUAAUAGCUUAACAUGUGUUACUUAUAAUCAAACUUUUACCAUGCAGACCUUAGAUGCAGCUGUUGGUGAUACCGAAAUAAUGGCAGAUCGGUAUGAAUAUGCUCAGAUCAGAUCAGGACUCUUGGAUUUUUUCAUUGCAUCGGAUUUGGAUUUUUCAUUAACUUACUGUGAAACACUAUGGGUCAUCUUCUGUUUCUGAGACUGGUGAGCUUGAUCAAGAAGAACUUGCUAUGUGUUUGAUGAUGUUGUCGAAAGAUUCCGCGAAUUGGGCUGGUGUGAAUUCGGUUGUCGAAUCGUCGAACAAUAACUCUGCUGUUCUCGAGACGAAAUCGUCUUCGGUUGAAAGAAUCAGUAAGAAAUCAAGUGGCGGUUUGGAUGCCGAUACUGUUCAAUUCGAGAAUCUUACUGCUAGAAAAGUGGAAUCGGACAUUUCGGUUGAGGAAUUGCUUCGAUACGGUGACCCGAACAAGAAGUCGAAAUGGGUAUUCGAUAAAGCGCAAGAACUGACUUACGAACAGAAUCUCGAAAUAAGAAGGAAUUUGUUUAGAGAAUUCACGUAUUUGAAAAAAAGAGUUCGCGAUGAUGAUGUUUCGUAUACUCCUAAACUAGAACGCGAGGGGCCGAAUAAGAAACGAAAUAAGUACGAAUGCUUGAACUGCAACAAGCUUUUUACGUCGUUUCAAGGGCUUGGCGGGCAUAGACCGUGUCACAAAAAGAACAAUACGGUCGGGUCAAAACACGACAGUGGCGAAAACAGUUUAGAAGGUGACUUUGCACAUACUCGAAAGGCGAAAUACGAUAAGAAAACGAAGGUGAAAAAGAUCAAAGGGCACGAAUGCCUGAUUUGUUUCAGGAUGUUUAAAUCGGGGCAAGCUUUAGGUGGUCACAAACGGUGUCAUUGGCAGAUUCUCAACCUCUUGAUGAAGAUUCUAAAAUUAAAAUUAUUGAGUAACAGAUGCAGCCAAACAAAGCAAGUGAAAAUCAGAUGGAUCUACCUCAAUCUUUAUCUGGAGUUGAUUCAAGCACAGAGACUCCUGUUAACAAACUAACAGGAUCCCAUUCUAAGUCUAGGCGUACAACAAUAAGGGGACGGAAUAAUGCUAGAAAGACUCCUUCAGUUGAAUCUUUUGAUUCUUCUGCUGAAGAAGAGUAAGAAGAGCAAGAGGAAACACAAUACUUCAAGCUAGCUUGGAAAGAAGGAAGCAAGCAUUACACGAACGUAGGAUGACACUUGAACAAGAUGCACGGAAUUCAAACUUCGAUGAGUAUUUCUCGUUGAAUGGAAUAUAAAAGUUUAGAAACCCGGACCGGGUAGUGGUUCAUAAUAGACAUCGUAAAUGAAACUGAUAUCAGUCUGGACACCCGCGGCAACGCGCGGG